rnacentral:rRNA from 1 species
UACGAAGGGUGCUAGCGUUGCUCGGAAUUACUGGGCGUAAAGGGCGCGUAGGCGGCACUGUUAGUCAGGCGUGAAAGUCCUGGGCUCAACCUGGGAACUGCGCUUGAUACGGCAGAGCUAGAGGAUGGAAGAGGCUCGCGGAAUUCCCAGUGUAGAGGUGAAAUUCGUAGAUAUUGGGAAGAACACCGGUGGCGAAGGCGGCGAGCUGGUCCAUUACUGACGCUGAGGCGCGACAGCGUGGGGAGCAAACAGG